AUGGCGGAAGGAAAAAGGUGCCACGACGGUGAAACGGAAAUGGUGCCACGACAACAUUACGGUCCCGAUAACUCAUGGAGGUACCGGUGCAAAAGGAAGUGUGACGUGAGUGAGUCAUGCAAGAAUGGUGGGGUGCUCCCGGAUUCCGGGUUCCCACAGGACGGCAACAUGGCAAACGAGGAAUGUGCAAAAACAACUCAGACACGGUGCAAACAUAUGGUACAUCUCAUACAUGCAAGGGCAUCUCAUCGCGGUCGUCUCGGGUUAUACCUUCAAAGCGUGCGUUUCGGGGCGGUUCCAAAUCGUCGAGGGAAGUAG
rnacentral:rRNA from 1 species